GUCACUUCGCCCGCUUGCAAGACAAAAUGGCUGAAUGCUCAAGAAUUUUCUCUCAUGUUCUUUCACAAUUUACAUGUAAUUAAGUCGACACAAUAACUACAACAAUGAAAGAGUGAGGAGAACUGUGCUACAGAACAGGUGCAUUUCUACUAAGCAUGUUACUGCCUUGGGAUGUGCAAUCAAGUUAUAAUCAAGAUGAGGUCUAAAAGAAAAGACGUGUACCUUUUGCUGACAGCUCCAAUCUUUCCAUUUAUCAAGAAAACCGCUGGCACCGACAACUCGAUGUGUCCAUCAUGUACUGUACAGGUGGUAUUAACAACUGCAUCUCCUAAGGACCGAUUGUCACCCACGAAGCAGCACCAAAGUUAACAGUGUCAGUUCAUAAGCAAGGCCUGAAUGAACGAAGCAAGGCCUGAAUGAACGAACCCAGGGAGAUUCAAGCUGUACUUAAUGGAGGGCUGACACCUGUUGCAGCCUUGGAACUAUCAACAUGUGAAGCAAAUGUGAAGAUGGUGUUGAACAUGAACAUAACUGAUGUUAUGUAACAAGGGUUCAUAGCAAUGCGUAUUUAUCAAAUUUUACCCAAAUUUUGUCCGAAAAUGCAAUAAGGCUUUAGACUUGCAUAUUAAUUAUCAAACUUUCUCACAUUUUGCCUCAAAAUGCAUCAAUGCUUUAGCCUUGCAUAUUUAUCGAAUUUUUCUCACAUUUUGCUUCAAAAUGCAACAAGGCCUUGCGUAUUCAUCGAAUGUUGCUCAAGUUUUGCACGAAAAAUGCAACAAGGCUUUUUUAGCCUUGCGUAUUUGUUAAAUUUACUCACAUUUUGCCUCAAAAUGCAUCAAUGCUUUAGCCUUGCAUAUUUAUCGAAUUUUUCUCACAUUUUGCUUCAAAAUGCAACAAGGCCUUGCGUAUUUAUCAAAUGUUGCUAAAAUUUUGCAUGAAAAAGCAACAAGGCUAUAGCAUUACAUAUUUACCAAAUUUUUCUCACAUUUUGCCUCAAAAUGCAUCAAGGCCUUGCAUAUUCAUCGAAUGUUGCUCAAGUUUUGCACGAAAAAUGCAACAAGGCUUUUUUAGCCUUGCAUAUUUAUUAAAUUUACUCACAUUUUGUCUCAAAAUGCAGCAAGGUAUUAGCCUUGCAUGUUUAUCAAAAUUUUCUCUUAUUUUGCCUCAAAAUGCAACAUAUUUAUCAAAUUUUUCUAACAAUUUUUCCUCAAAACGCAACAAGGCUUUAACCUUGCAUGUUUAUCUAAUUUUUCUCACAUUUUGCCUCAAAAUAAAACAAGGCCUUGUGUAUUCAUCAAAUGUUGCUCAAAUUUUGCACGAAAAAUGUAACAAGGCCUUACAUAUUUAUAAUUUUUUUUUCAAAUUUGCUUCAAAAUGCAACAAGGCUUUAGCCUUGCAUAUAAUCAAAUGUUUGCUCAAAAUUUGCACGAAAAUAAACAAAGCCUUGCAUAUUUAUCCAAAUUUAUCACAUUUUGCCUCAAAACGCAACUAGGCUUUAGCUUUGCAUGUUUAUCAAAUUUUUCUCACAUUUUGCCUCAAAAUGCAACAAGGCUUUAUUUAAGGAAUCUUGCUCAAUUUUCGCACGAAAAUGCAACAAGGCUUUAGCCUUGCAUAUUUAUCGAAUUUUGCUCAAAUUUUUCAUGAAAAU